rnacentral:rRNA from 1 species
GACGAACGCUGGCGGCGUGCCUAAUACAUGCAAGUCGAGCGGACGGAAGGGAGCUUGCUCCCGGAAGUCAGCGGCGGACGGGUGAGUAACACGUGGGUAAUCUGCCUGUCAGACCGGAAUAACGCCUGGAAACGGGUGCUAAUGCCGGAUAGGCAUCCUUAGGGCAUCUUGAGGAUGGGAAAGGCGCUAUGGCGUCACUGACAGAGGAGCCCGCGGCGCAUUAGCUAGUUGGUGGGGUAACGGCCUACCAAGGCGACGAUGCGUAGCCGACCUGAGAGGGUGACCGGCCACACUGGGACUGAGACACGGCCCAGACUCCUACGGGAGGCAG